AAUGAGUGUAUAUUUUCAAACACAGAUACUAAUUAAUUCUAAAAUUGCGUUUUGUUUAGAAAAAGAAAGAAAGUUAUUUUUGCGUGUACACUUCCCCUUUAACACUGUACAGUAAUGUGUAAAUUUCCCUCAUGUUUACAUUUCCAUUUUCGGAAACGUGUAUAUUGGUGGAUGUAAGCAGUCAUUUCAAGACACAAACCACAGGGAGUGUCCCUCGUUAUAACAUAAUGAGAAUCUAUACGACUGUGCUUGUGCUAAUAUUGUUUUUAUCCUUGAUGGGGAGAGGUCUUUUCAUAAUAUAAUUAAGCAGUGGUUUCAUCUUUGUUUCUUUGCUUGAGGAGUUUUCGAUACCUAGUACCCCAUAUAGUAUGCACCCGUCUGCGUCUAUUUGUAUUCACCUAGUUUUAACCACACCCAGUGUAGAUAUCACAAACAGUUUGAACAUAGUGACAGAUUUAUAUCAUUUUGUUGUUAAUUUUCAUAUUUUUUUUCAUUUUCUUGACAAACAUUGCAUACCUCAUUCUUUCUCAUGAAACCACAUCGUCUUAUCUUCAUCUGCCCGAAAUCUGGCACGGGAUUGUCAAAAAGGGGAUUAUAUUAUUAAUCUUCCAUUUCCACUACAAGCUAUAUUACUAACAUUAACGUCCACACAACAAAAGGUAGAAUUUGCAAACCUCUGGUAUUCAUGGAAACAAGUGCUCUUUCUUUCGAACAGCUUGCUUUGGUUCCAGAAUAUGUAAUUCUAGACUAGUUUGCAAACUAUACUUUUUGAGAAGUGACAUUUAAAUUUGAAAUUGCUAUUGAAGUUUUCUGGAAGAGUGUUGUUGCUCUGGAAUGUUUCGUCCUAGGGGGUGUUAGAAUCUAAGUUUACAAAUACGUCCUUGCACCCACCUUGUCGCCAUGGUAACCAUGAAUUCAUUCAACGUCAUACUCUUCAUUUUGCUGUGUAUGGCUGCGCCAACUGAACAAAAUAUGACAGAUUAAUCUCAGCUGUAAUAAUAUGUGUUUAUAUUUCAAAUCACAUCAAGCAUUUCAGAUGGCUCAAAAGAAUUUAAUGACAUUUUAAAUAUUAGUAUGCUGACAAUUUUGUAUAAAAUAUGUCCUUCCCGUGUCUUGAUAUGAAGAAACAUUCACGAGAACAACGUUGAUAAAUUAAUACAAGUGGUUGCAACAACCUGGUAUCUUUGGUUACAGAAAUUUAAAAAAGUCUCACGCCUUUGUGUAAUAACUAGUGGGUUUUGAUACACAUUGUCAGAUUGUGGUUUCUAAUAAAUGAAAUAUGACAGAUCUUUCCCUACUGAAUGACCAUUGUCACUUUGUUAUAGAUGAGAUAGCUCUCUCAUUUUACUGUUUAAGUCUAGCUCUAAACUGAUAUGAUAUAAUGUUCUUAAUGGUCAUAAUAUGUAUCCAGAACCAAUCGGUAUAUGGUAAUAACAUACUGUAAUUAAAUUCGAAACAAAAUUGUCAAAGUUAGUGAACCUUUGUAGGUUUCUGAGAAAAUACUUAUGUUCCAUUUGAUUUGUAUGCAGCACCGUCCAUUUCUUAUGAUUAUAUAGUUCCGACAUAAUUAUGGUACUGAUACCAAAAUAAAUGCUUUUUAUUGCGUUAUGAUUUAAAUGAUAUAUUAGUUCACUCACAGUAUGGUGUGACAUGAUAUGUUAUGGCAGAGAUGGUAAAACGUACUAUGUUUCAAGCGAGGUUUCUUCAAAGUGAUAUUCCUUAUCAUUCCAUGUAAAACGUAUUCUAUAUACUGUAUUGUGUGCUACCUCCAGACCCGGCAGCUCAUGGAAACCGUACUAAUCAAAAUAUAGAUAUUCUGGAAAGCUUUAGAUACCGAGGACAUAAACUGGCCAAUAGGUUCCUGAAACGUAUUGCUUGCUUAUUGAUUGAUACAUUGAUGUUUCGUGGUCGUAAACCCUUGAAAACCAAGAAGUAUAUAGCUCAACUCUAUCUGUAAGUGGCAUUGCUAGAGAAAGGUUUGAAAAGUAAAUACAUGGAAAAGACACGUUAGCGUUUACCUUCUGUUAGAAGCAAGUGCCUGUGUCACGAACAUGCAAAGCAAGAAAGUUGAAUUAAUAACCGUGGUUGCUCAAAUAAAUUAACAAAACUCGAAAGAAUGAAGAGAAUUUUCCUAGUUUGAAAGAUGCAAAUAUAUAUCUACCAAACAACCUGCAGGUAUCUAUCUUCAGAAUAUGCGUUUGAAAAGAGUUCCGUGUGUUUCUAAGUUUGCAUUGCACUGUGACUUAUAUUAUUUCAUAAUAACCAGGUAAAUAGAAUAUAGACAAAACAUGCUGCCUCUCCAGGUGUAAUUAUGCCAUAUGAAGUCAGGCUAGACACCAAUAGGACACUAAGGCCAGUUUGAACACCGUUGCAGGAGCCAUAAAAAUAACAACACUGUCCUUUACCAUCUAAACAUUUAACCGUGGGAACGACCGCGUGAAGGUGAAUGGAGAUAAUUCCGUAUGAUUCCUUAAUCCGGAAAUGUGUUAAUCCUGAUUUGAAUGGAAAAGCUACCCGAUUAACGGGUUCCACUGUAUAUCUAAGUCGAGAUUAAAUUUGUGAAAUGGGUAUAACAGAUGUACAUCCUAAGUGUAUAAUAGAAUUUCAAGACUGUUUGUUGAAUAUUUACGACACAUUUUAUCUCAGUGCGAUGUAAAAUCCCUUGUUGAGUUUUUCCACACAUUUGUUGUAUGAAUUGUUGAAGUAUUAGUGAUGUUAUGAUGUCUUGGAUGUGUGUUGAAAGUUGCUGGAAUGAGAACAAAGGGUUUUCAUAACCAUAACUUACGUUAAUGUAGAUAAAGACAAAUACGUGAAAGACGUUUUUGAUAUUUUCAAACCGCUCAAUUUGCAGAGAUGAGAAACGCAUUGAUUACACCUAGGGCUAGACAAAUAUUAUAUUACAUAUAUAGACAUUUUACUUGUACAUGAUAAUUGAACAGUUGUAUUGACACUUGCAUAACAAUUGAAUGUUAAAGAGUUGAAAUUUUAUAAUUAUGGAUUCUUUAAAUAAGUCGUAUGACUAUUUCUACGAAAUGGCAUUUAUUGAAAUUAUUUUUUCACUUAUUUUAAGAAAUGAAGACGUUAUACAACUCCAGUGACAUACUAAUCCAACGUUCAAAGUGGUAAAAACUAGUAAACCAUCAGGGAAAAAAAGUAAGGUUUCAAAGUAUAUUCUCAUGGUAUAAUUGAUCGAAGUUACCAUUGGAACCAUACAGACACUUAUAAAAUCGGCAUGAGGCAUUAUUCAGUCCUCAACACCACUUGUGAUACGAAAAUUGUUAAGCAAUAGAACACUACUGUAGUUAGAGGAAGACAUCAAGCGAGUGAUUAAGAGUGGAAGACACGUAACACGUGACCCAAAUACGUCACCGUGGAAUUCCUCACGCGUCACCAGUGUUACAACUACCAGUUUUAAACAACCAGAGACGCUCAAAAUAACACUAUGAUCUAACGUGCAGCGCUUUUAUUGGACGCUUGAUAGCUGCCCUUAACAAUCACGGAUUUUAAAGUUAUGGUUGCUUGAUUACGCAAGUGUGUAACCUCUGCCAGUGAGUAAAUUGUAAUCAGUGUGUAAUGGGCGUUGGUAUCAUUCUCAUUUCAUAUAUUUUGCAUCAUAUUUUUAAUACUCAGAAACAUUUGUUCGGAUUUUUUUUAUUUUCUGGAAUUUGAUCGCCCCAUGUUUGAAUUGGAGCAAAACAGAAUUUUUUUAUAUGCUUCUUGGUUUAUAUUUAUUAAAUUUGUUCAUGGUUUAUAUCCAUGCCAGCUUCAUUUUUUAUUGCUUUUAUUAAUCUUCUUGAACUCGUUUAUUCUUUUUUUCGUACAUUAUGUUAUAUUGUAACCAUCAUUUUGAGACAUUCAAUAUAUCCUGUUAAUUUCAGUGAUGGUAGGGACAAAAUAUUCUCAUUUCUUACAUUGACCACCCGUAUGUGUAUCAUAGAGAACGAAACACCCACCUACUUAUGAUUGAACAAAGUUUAUCAAUAUAUGAUGAAAUUAUCCAUUUUACAUCAAUGUUUUCUUUUAGCGUUUUUUUGCGUUUUGUACAAGAAAUUACCAUAACGAUCAGAGUACAGUAACACCUUGUAUAAAGUGACAUUUUCACAUACCCAUAGCGAGGCUCCAUCCUUUACAGUAUAUAAAUGUGAGUAUUUUUGUCAGAAGUAGUAACUUUUAUUCGGAUCACCUUUAAUCUAAUAAACGGUCGUAAUGACUUUCGGUUCAUCUUUACUGAACAAAUCAGAAAGGGAUCAUGAAUAUUUUGGGGUAUGUUUUUUCAGUAUUGACGAUUGAGCACAGAAUUUCAUAAAAUUAUCCCCCACAACAUUCAUGAUCCUUAACUUGUGUUUGUUCAGUGUGUAUAAACAAAGACAUUCAAUGACAUGUUAUGAUUCAUUGUCUAACAAACAAAAUAUUGUAGACUAUUUGUGAUUGCAUAUCUUUGUCUUCAUGUACAAAGCGGUUAUACCGACUAAUGUUACCAAUAGUUGAUCAAGUGUUAUUUAAUGUUUAUAACAGUUUUCAACUGGUCUUCACAUACCAUCAUCCUUCAUUCAAAGGUUUGCUUAGCAAUUUUUCUAAUUACAACAGUAUCAAGUAUAAGACCACUUGUUAUAUUGUAGGUGGUAGAGUGUUUUUCAUGUUAACUAAUGGAAAACUAUGUUGUACCAUUUUUACUGAUAUUACCACUGUGUAUGUGUGGGAUUGUCUCGCAUCUUCAUCCUCUCCCAGAGACGAAUGCUACCAGCGUAUGGGAUGAAGUUAUGGUCUGUAUGGUAAGAAUGGUUUAUAAGAUCUUAGCCUAAUUUAUACUGCUCCAACUCUUCCCCUUUAGCUAAUUUAGAGUCUGCCAACCACGUGGGAAGACGAUCAUGUUCCGCUGUUGACCUUGACAGUAGUCUUAAGUGAAACAUAUACUUCUCAUAAAAUGCAUUAAACUGUGAGUUUUUCUUUUUGUAGAUUUGAUAUGUAUUUGAUUACAUUUUGCACUUAAUUGUCUUUCACAAAGUCUUUCAUAAAGUAGCCUGGGAAAUAAGGAAUUAUAUUAUGCACCUUACUGUUGUGAGUUUUUUUUUCUUCAUGUUUUAUCGUGGCUUCUGGUCGAGUCGGUUUUGUACUGAGUACUAGAUGAAGUGUAUACACAGUCUCCAUCGUGGCUGAUGAAGAAAACAUCCUCCGUAUCACCCCAUGCUUCUGGUUGUAUUUCAGUACAGGUCACGUGACUCUGACAAUAAUGGCCGCGACUGGACUAACAUGAUACCUUCUUAUAUUGGUGAUUACUUCAUUACAGCUGAUCAUUUUAACUCGUGUAUCUCAGGAUUUUGUCGGUAGUGUUAACUUUAGAUUCCACAUCCAGAAUAUAUGCUUUUUGUUUGUCAUUUUUUUAAUUCACAGAAUAUUUGUUAAUUUACUGGAGAAUAUCUGAGAUUCGACUGGUAGUUUUUCUUAAUUUUUAAUCUUCUUUCUUCACACAUUGUACAUUAGGGUCGCUUAGUGUACUGCUCAGGCCAGACCACCCGGAGCCUUACAGUUCUGUCGACUUGCUAUAGUGUUUAUGGCAUCCUUGUUUAAAUUAACCACUUCAUAAAUCCCUCUCUUAGUAUUACUACCUUAACACAGAAAAUCCUACAAGGGAGAUAAGUGUGUCUGACUGGCAGAUAUUCAGGGUACACCUGAAGGCCCAUUCCCCACGUUUCAUACUCGUGGGCAUUCGGAGCCAAGGUUCUGGUGCUCUACAGAACUUCCACGUUUAAUGAGCUACAUUUUUAUUCCAACAUACAUCUUUAUUGAGCACUCUCGCUACCGCCCUCUCAGCUAGACAUUGCUUGGUUGCUACUGGUGAACAUUGUUAUUCUACAAUUUCCAGGUAUUAAUAAAAACCCUUAAAAUUAA